CGUGGUCGGCUGCCUGCUUCGUGUAAAGCUCCUUCGACGAGUCGAGUUGUUUGGGAAUGCAGCUCAAAAUGGGUGGUAAAUUUCAUCUAAAGCUAAAUAUUGGCCAGAGACCGAUAGCGCACAAGUAGAGUGAUCGAAAGAUGAAAAGCACUUUGGAAAGAGAGUUAAACAGCACGUGAAAUUGUUGAAAGGGAAGCGCUUGCAAUCAGACUUGCGCGUAGGUAAUCAAGGGCGGUUCGCUGCCCUGCACUUGCCUGCGCUCAGGCCAGCAUCAGUUUUGGGGGUGGGAUAAAGGCCGUGGGAAUGUGGCUCUUCGGAGUGUUAUAGCCCUCGGUGCCAUGCCGCCUCCCGAGACUGAGGACCGCGGAUGCUG
rnacentral:rRNA from 1 species